AGGGGCUAAUGGUGUUGCUGAAAUUGAAGCUCUCAUGCCUCACUCUGGCUACUGUGUAGUGGCUGAAAUAUAUCUGCCCCUGUUAGACAGAAGAAGUCAAAGAAGUAAAGAGAGGUGUGUGGGAACCCCAUGACUGAUUAUGGAGUGCUCCGCAGUAUGGAAAUCAAAAGCUCUCUGAGGAUGGGAAGGAUCAUGUUUAAGAAUUUUUUGAAAGUCUUUUCCAUGUUUUCUUUAAGCAAUGUUCACUGUUACAUUUCAGGCACUUAUUUUGUUUUUCCAUUGUUUCUUUCUUAAUAUUUCACUUGUGAACAAAAUUUGACUGACACCCUUCAAAAAUUAGAAUUUAAAGAAGGUAAAGAAUAAAGGGCUCUGUGAAAUACAGAAACUUAUUUCUGAUUGUAACAUCCUGAACAAUGAUCUUCAUUCUCCUAAAACAGCAAAACAAAAUCUAAGAACCAAAGAAUAGUAGGCAUUCAAUAAAAGUAUUGAAUGAACUUUUUCAAAAUAGAAUUACAGGCUGAGAGACAAACCUUAAGAAUCAUUUUUCACUCUGUUGAGUCAGUUAAUUUGACAUAGAUAUUCCAAUUUAACAUUUUUAUACGCAUGUUUAUCUAUGCAUUUCUAUUUGAUAUAAUCAUACUUUUCCUAUAUUUAUUUUCUAUUAUGAAAUAUUUCUACUUAAUGACCAAAAUUUUGUUUUAAGUCCUAUUCUGUAUACAUAAGAACAGUUUUUUGAAAAAAAAAUACUCAUGAUCUCUGGAUUAAUAUCUAGAUUAUUAACAAUAACAUCUAAACAUCAAGAGAGGCCCACUCAAUGUAAUUUCCCCUAAUUAACAUGUAAUUACAUUAAGAUUUUCUUUUUUGUUUUGGUUUGGUUUUAAUAGUCUUCAAAGAAUAUAUCUUUAUUCCCAAAGUUAAGUGUAAUAUUUCUCAAAAAGAAAAAGAAAAUUUACCUCCCCAUUUGGACCACAAUAACAGCUCAACCCUCCUGGCAAAGGGUGUCUUGCUGAAAACCCCUUCAUCCUUGCUGGUGGAGGAUCUUAUGAAUAAAGGUGUAAUUGGGACUCACUGGAGUCCCUGGAGAGAACUUGGCUUGAAUCUAAGGCAUACAGAUGGUGGUCAUUUUGUUUGGGAUACUUUUGGAGAUUAUAGGGAUAAUCAGAGUCCUCCAACCACACACCCCCACACACACCUCUAAAGACCAGUGGCCUAAAGCUCAAUAAAGUCAUUUUCACUCGGGGCUAAGUUCUUAUAUAUGUUUAAGGUUGUCUACCUUGUGAGGUGUGGAUCAGAGAACACUUGAAUAAUUUCUCAUAAAAAAUUGUGCCAAAUGUGAUUGUAAAACAAUAUAACUAGUACUCCUGAUUGUAUACAAUUAGUCACAAUAAUAAAUGGAUUUUCAAUUAUUCAGAAAUGUAUGGGGUGGGAUAGAAGAAAAAGAGUUAGAGAAUUGAUUUCAUUGCUUUUCCAUAUGCCCAGGAGCAUAGACUUAGAGAUUGAAAAAAAGAAUUUUAUGUUUUUGAAUUGUGGAUUUUAUUUUUAUAUUUAGCUUAUUAUUUGGCUAUUAUUUUUGCCUUUUAUCUUUCUUAGGGAGGGGGAAAAAUAGGAGCAAUGGGGUGGGUGUGGAGUAGGGAUCAUUUGUGGCCAACAGCAUUUAAGAAGGCUGACUUUUGGGAAAAAAAAU
rnacentral:lncRNA from 1 species